UACAGAGGGGGCAAGCGUUAUUCGGAAUUACUGGGCGUAAAGCGCACGUAGGCGGAUCAUUUAGUCAGGGGUGAAAUCCCGGGGCUCAACCUCGGAACUGCCUUUGAUACUGAUGGUCUCGAGUCCGGAAGAGGUGAGUGGAAUUCCUAGUGUAGAGGUGAAAUUCGUAGAUAUUAGGAAGAACACCAGUGGCGAAGGCGGCUCACUGGUCCGGUACUGGACGCUGAGACGCGAAAGCGUGGGGAGCAAACAGGG
rnacentral:rRNA from 1 species